rnacentral:rRNA from 1 species
UGGGGAAUUUUGCACAAUGGGGGAAACCCUGAUGCAGCGACGCCGCGUGAUUUAGAAGGCCUUCGGGUUGUAAAAAUCUUUUGUAUGGGAAGAAAAUGACAGUACCAUACGAAUAAGGACCGGCUAAUUACGUGCCAGCAUCCGCGGUAAUACGUAAGGUCCGAGCGUUGUCCGGAAUCAUUGGGCGUAAAGGGUACGUAGGCGGAUAAGCAAGUUAGAAGUGAAAUCCUAUAGCUCAACUAUAGUAAGCUUUUAAAACUGCUCAUCUUGAGGUAUGGAAGGGAAAGUGGAAUUCCUAGUGUAGCGGUGAAAUGCGCAGAUAUUAGGAGGAAUACCGGUGGCGAAGGCGACUUUCUGGACUUGAACUGACGCUGAGGCACGAAAGCGUGGGGAGCAAACAGG